rnacentral:rRNA from 1 species
AGAGUUUGAUCCUGGCUCAGAUUGAACGCUGGCGGCAUGCCUUACACAUGCAAGUCGAACGGCAGCACGGGGGCAACCCUGGUGGCGAGUGGCGAACGGGUGAGUAAUACAUCGGAACGUGUCCUGUAGUGGGGGAUAGCCCGGCGAAAGCCGGAUUAAUACCGCAUACGCUCUACCGAGGAAAGGGGGGGAUCUUAGGACCUCCCGCUACAGGGGCGGCCGAUGGCAGAUUAGCUAGUUGGUGGGGUAAAGGCCUACCAAGGCGACGAUCUGUAGCUGGUCUGAGAGGACGACCAGCCACACUGGGACUGAGACACGGCCCAGACUCCUACGGGAGGCAGCAGUGGGGAAUUUUGGACAAUGGGGGAAACCCUGAUCCAGCAAUGCCGCGUGUGUGAAGAACGCCUUCGGGUUGUAAAGCACUUUUGUCCGGAAAGAA